UCCCUUCAGGAAACCAUUUUGGUUUUCAGAUAUCAUAAGUGGGCAGCAUUGGAUUCAGCCUUCUGGAAAUAAGCUUGGUAAUAAUUUUGCUAGAAAAAUUGUUGAGGCUAAUUGGUCUGAAUUCUGUGAAGUUGCUAGGUGAUUUUACUUUUGGAAUAAGCACCAGAAGAGUGUGUGAGAAGAAUUUAAUAAGUUUUCCUUUGAUGAAGGAAAACUGAACAAAUUCUACCACCUCCCUUUUAAUAAUGUCCCAGCAACUGUUGACACCCAAUUUUGGUCCUCCUUUUUCGUUUAAUUAAUUUCACUAUGCUUCUCAGUCCUGAAAAUUCGCCAGAAUGAGUUUGGAAUAUUUUCAUUAAUUAUUAUGCUAUUUUUCGAGAUAUAUUUCUCUAAAGUUAAGAACAUUCUUAUUGUUUCUUAAAAAUUACCAGACACCGUAUUUUUAAUUAUAAAAAUUACUAAACAUAAUUCUUUACAAUUAAAUCACUCAAAAAAUAGUGUUGAUAUUCCUAUAUCAAUAUUGGCCUUGGCAUUUCUCCUUUAAUCCUAUUUAUUACUAUGUUAAUCCCUGUCCCUUUCUCCCCUUUUCUUCAAGUGACAAAGUUUCGAACAACUCGUCCAAAGUCGAAUCAGCCCCCAAAUCAAAAAGCACGCGAAUAUCUUUGGGAUUCUUGGCCGUUCUUCCAACAACCCAUAGGGUAAAGGUUUGUUUCGGUCCGUUGGAGCCUAAAACCAUGAAGAAUCCACUAAAUUCAGAGUCCCAACGAAUUUGUAGCCUUCAAAUCGCUCUGAAAAAGUUCUCGGCUGAGCAAGGAUUGCUUGAAGCGGAUUCGGAGACUCGAUGACGACAACAGCUUCAGUUCGCUGUCACAAAGAAGGUAAUCACAUUCGUCCUAUCUUCGUCUUUAAUUUAGUAGAAGUAGAAAUGUAGUCGUUCAAGUAUUUCUUGUCGUUUAUUUGGUUUAGUUGGCUGCUGGAAUGUGUGUUCUCCUCGUUUGUUGUAAAUUAGCGUGAAACAACUAAUUUCAUCGAAUACGUGCUUAACCUCGUCGCUUGGCUGAUCCCCUGUUUUAGUCUUUUUUUUUUUCGUCUGUGAGAUCCUAUUUCUAACAUAAAUCAGUGGGAAGGACGACUGAUAGAAAUUAUCAAUUUAACAAGAGAAAUCUACUGAUUUGUGAGAGUGUAAUAUGAGUUUAUAUGCCGAUUUAGUAUUUGCUUGUUGUCGUCUUCUCGUAUGUUCAAGUAAAUAUUCUCUUUUUACUUCUUUUUCACAAAAAAUUAUAAUAAACCAUCGUUAAGGCUAUGGGAUAAUUCUUGUUUGAGUAUAUUUUGAUUUAGAAUCUGGACAUAUAUGAAAACUUCUCAUCUCAUCCUCAGUUUAUAACUAUAAAAUGUAGUCGUUUGAUUAUUUGGGCCAGUUUUUUUAGUGUUCUGUACAUUUUCGUCUUUUUUUUUUUUUUUUUUUAAAAAAAAAAAUAGCAGAUGAUCCAUUAUGGACAUCAGCAUGUGAAAGGCUAAUACAAACUAAGGGCAUUUAGAGGAAUAUGACUGAUUCGUUAACUUAUCGAAUACGUGAUUAACCUUUACGCUCUUCUAGUUUAUUUUUAUUUUUUUUGUUUGUUUUGAGACGCGCCAGAACCUAUUUUACUUAACUAUGAACAUUUAGGGAGGAAACCAUUGAUUUAUAUAAGUUUUCAUUAGUUGAAACUUGCUUGUGUUGAAGAAACUUGCUUGUGUUAAAGUAAAUCUUCUUUCUAUAAAUACUCUUAAAGACUGCUAUGCCGUGACUCCGGGUAGAAACCAAUAUGUGAAUAUAUUGUGAUAUCAUAUAAUCGAACAGAGAAGUUAUCACUUGAUUAAAGGAAAAAUUUACUAGUUUGAUUAGAGAAAAAGUUACUAUUUUGAUUUUUUUUUAAUUUAAAAAAAGCUACUAUUCUGAUUAUGUUACUGGUUUUGGCAUAUAAAAAAAAAAAAGAGUUACUGUUUCGAUGAAAAGAGAGGCAGGGGUAAACGAAGUUAACAACACCUAUGAGGGUAUUGUUUCGACAUAUUGAAUGAGAAAUAAUUUUGUUGUUAAGGGACUGUUCUGUUUUUCGCUAAAUGGUGUUUUGAUAAUUACCAUCACCUUUACAUUAGUAUGGACUCCUUUAUUGUAGAACUUGUAUGCUGAUUCGUGGAAGUUCAACGAUGCUAAGUUAUGGUUCUUUGUAUUUGCCACCGUUCAUUGAGUUCAUACCUAGGCUCCAUCAUUUUUUAGAGCAUAGAGUAUUAGGAGUCAUGUCGAUAGGAGUCCGGGAACCUUUGUCAGAGCAUAAGUUUGCUGUGGUUCGGAAGUGAAAAUGUCUCUUAACUUGUUUGUAGCGGUUUACUCCUAAUCUGUUUUGGGCUGAAAUAUGAGUUUACAUAAGGCUUCUCUUCUUAAAUUAAGAACUGAUUGAUUAUUAACCUGGUUAGUCAUAAAGCAUAGGAGUUCCUUUCUUAAGUUUGUUGUAAGCAUGACAUUUAGUUAACUAAUCAAAUAGCAAAAAAGGGUAUGCCACUGGUCAAUUUCUUAAAUUUGAGAGGUUUAAGAGUUAAAUAGGCAUGAUACUAAGGUCAAGAGAGCCAACUGAAAACAUGAACAAUUCAUAGCUUUAUUUCAUUUGCCAAGGGAAUUAAACCAGUUAAAAAUUUAAAGUUCAUUUGAUGUUCUUAAGUUUCUUUCCUUAACGCUUGAGAGGUUCAUACGAGAGAUAUCCCGUACAAUAGUUUGUUUCGUCUCAUAAAGUUUGAGGCUUCAUAACACCAGGAAGUUGAGCAGCCAUGGCUGCUGGACUCGUUUCAUACGUAUGAUGUACAUGAUAAAAGGUUUCUUGUCUUGACAAUAAGUUGCAAAGAUUUUCUUAAGUGUGGUUUGAAGUUUUGAAUCCUCUCUGCCGGCUAGAGAUUGAACUAUUGAUCUGAAAUAAAUUUGAGUGAAAAGUGACCUGUUUUGCUUACUAGAAUAGUUGUCUGGUAGUGACCUUCUCUUUUCUCCUACGAUUAAUACCAUGGUUAAAGUCUCUAUGUAAAUGAUGGCUUCUUCCUAAACCUGAAUCAUGCUUGUUUAAUACAUAUGUAUAGAACCCCUGGGUAGAUGUUUAAAACCAUUUAAGUUAUGUUAAGAAUUGAUUAGUCAUGCUAGGUUAUUGGCACUUGUUUGUUGUAUGCUUUUCUUUACUAAAAAUCUUGAAAAUAGGUGAUUUGGGAUUAUCUGUCGUAUGAAUAGCAAACACCCUCUUGAAGAGGCUCGAUGGACCCUUAAAAUGUUUGAAAGUCUAUCUGAUAACUCAGUUGUAGGAAUUAGUUAAACCGGUCUAUCUCAUUGAAAGUUCCCUACGCACAGAUUAUUAUUUGGUCUUGUUUGUUUUACUCCAUUUUUUGGGAUAAAAGCUGCUCUAAUCCUUUUCUUUCUCUCUUUCUUUUUCUGCAUGAAACACUUGGGAGCAUUUGGAGUUAUGGCAACUCCGGAUUUUGCCCAGAAUUAGAAGAAAUCAGUAGCAGCUGCGUUUAUGCUCAUGUCUAACAGCCAUCAUUCGUGUCAAAAGAGUCCCCCAUCCUUCUUCCUCUCUCUAAAUUUCAUGUCUUUGUAUUGACUAAUAUUAUAUCUGUUAUUUGUAUCUUGACUAACAUUUUUAUGGACUUGUGUUGUAGUGUUUUUGUUUUGGGUUUGUGCUCUUAAAAGAGUGAUUAAGUAGAA